rnacentral:rRNA from 1 species
AACGAACGCUGGCGGCAUGCCUAACACAUGCAAGUCGAACGAGACCUUCGGGUCUAGUGGCGCACGGGUGCGUAACGCGUGGGAACCUGCCCUUAGGUUCGGAAUAACUCCCCGAAAGGGGUGCUAAUACCGGAUAAUGUCUUCGGACCAAAGAUUUAUCGCCUUUGGAUGGGCCCGCGUUGGAUUAGCUAGUUGGUAGGGUAAUAGCCUACCACGGCGACGAUCCAUAGCUGGUUUGAGAGGAUGAUCAGCCACACUGGGACUGAGACACGGCCCAGACUCCUACGGGAGGCAGCAGUGGGGAAUAUUGGAAAAUGGGCGAAAGCCUGAUCCAGCAAUGCCGCGUGAGUGAUGAAGGCCUUAGGGUUGUAAAGCUCUUUUACCCGGGAUGAUAAUGACAGUACCGGGAGAAUAAGCUCCGGCUAACUCCGUG